rnacentral:rRNA from 1 species
UUGCAGUUCGAGCGAACAGAAGAAGGAAGCUAUGCUACUUUUGACGUUAGCGGCGGACGGGUGAGUAACACGUGGGUAACCUACCUAUAAGAGUGGAAUAACUCCGGGAAACCGGGGCUAAUGCCGGAUAACAUGUUGAACCGCAUGGUUCUACAGUGAAAGACGGUCUUGCUGUCACUUAUAGAUGGACCCGCGCCGUAUUAGCUAGUUGGUGGGGUAACGGCCUACCAAGGCGACGAUACGUAGCCGACCUGAGAGGGUGAUCGGCCACACUGGAACUGAGACACGGUCCAGACUCCUACGGGAGGCAGCAGUAGGGAAUCUUCCGCAAUGGGCGAAAGCCUGACGGAGCAACGCCGCGUGAGUGAUGAAGGUCUUCGGAUCGUAAAGCUCUGUUGUUAGGGAAGAACAAAUGUGUAAGUAACUGUGCACAUCUUGACGGUACCUAACCAGAAAGCCACGGCUAACUACGUGCCAGCAGCCGCGGUAAUACGUAGGUGGCAAGCGUUAUCCGGAAUUAUUGGGCGUAAAGCGCGCGUAGGCGGUUUUUUAAGUCUGAUGUGAAAGCCCACGGCUCAACCGUGGAGGGUCAUUGGAAACUGGAAAACUUGAGUGCAGAAGAGGAAAGUGGAAUUCCAUGUGUAGCGGUGAAAUGCGCAGAGAUAUGGAGGAACACCAGUGGCGAAAGCGGCUUUCUGGUCUGCAACUGACGCUUAUGUGCGAAAGCGUGGGGAUCAAACAGGAUUAGAUACCCUGGUAGUCCACGCCGUAAACGAUGAGUGCUAAUGUUAAGGGGGUUUCCCCCCCUUAAUGCUGCAGCUAACGCAUUAAGCACUCCGCCUGGGGAGUACGGUCGCAAGACUGAAACUCAAAGGAAUUGACGGGGACGCGCACAAGCGGUGGAGCAUGUGGUUUAAUUCGAAGCAACGCGGAGAACCUUACCAAAUCUUGACAUCCUUUGACCGCUCUAGAGAUAGAGUUUUCCUCUUCGGAGGACAAGAUGACAGGUGGUGCAUGGUUGUCGUCACCUCCUGUCGUGAGAUGUUUGGGUUAAUUCCCUCAACCACCGCACCGCUGGAACUUAAUUGCCAUCAUUCCCUUGGGCCUCCUAGUUUACUUCCCGUGGCGACCGCAGAAAAGAGGGGGAGGACGGGCGAGCAACCACCCCCCUUCCAAUUUGGGUGUACACCUUCCGUCCAUGGAAGAUACAAAAGAAAGCAAAACCGCCGGGGCCAGCCAAUCGCGGGGAUUUGGUUUCCUUCCAAUUGUUGUUGGGAGUCGGCCGGGGCAACCUGAAACCGAAAUUACGAAUUAACCAAUUUACGGAAAAAAAUUCCGGGUCGUUUUCCCCCCCCCCCCCCACCCACAGAAAUAAA